rnacentral:rRNA from 1 species
AGGAUUAGAUACCCUGGUAGUCCANNCCGUAAACGUUGGGAACUAGUUGUGGGGUCCAUUCCACGGAUUCCGUGACGCAGCUAACGCAUUAAGUUCCCCGCCUGGGGAGUACGGCCGCAAGGCUAAAACUCAAAGGAAUUGACGGGGACCCGCACAAGCGGCGGAGCAUGCGGAUUAAUUCGAUGCAACGCGAAGAACCUUACCAAGGCUUGACAUAUUCGAGAACGCCGUAGAAAUACGGAACUCUUUGGACACUCGUUUACAGGUGGUGCAUGGUUGUCGUCAGCUCGUGUCGUGAGAUGUUGGGUUAAGUCCCGCAACGAGCGCAACCCUCGUUCUAUGUUGCCAGCACGUAAUGGUGGGAACUCAUGGGAUACUGCCGGGGUCAACUCGGAGGAAGGUGGGGAUGACGUCAAAUCAUCAUGCCCCUUAUGUCUUGGGCUUCACGCAUGCUACAAUGGCCGGUACAAAGGGCUGCAAUACCGUGAGGUGGAGCGAAUCCCAAAAAGCCGGUCCCAGUUCGGAUUGAGGUCUGCAACUCGACCUCAUGAAGUCGGAGUCGCUAGUAAUCGCAGAUCAGCAACGCUGCGGUGAAUACGUUCCCGGGUCUUGUACACACCGCCCGUCAAGUCAUGAAAGUCGGUAACACCUGAAGCCGGUGGCCUAACCCUUGUGGAGGGAGCCGUCGAAGGUGGGAUCGGUAAUUA